GACGAACGCUGGCGGCGUGCCUAAUACAUGCAAGUUGAGCGCUGAAGGUUGGUACUUGUACCAACUGGAUGAGCAGCGAACGGGUGAGUAACGCGUGGGGAAUCUGCCUUUGGGCGGGGGACAACAUUUGGAAACGAAUGCUAAUACCGCAUAAAAACUUUAAACACAAGUUUUAAGUUUGAAAGAUGCAAUUGCAUCACUCAAAGAUGAUCCCGCGUUGUAUUAGCUAGUUGGUGAGGUAAAGGCUCACCAAGGCGAUGAUACAUAGCCGACCUGAGAGGGUGAUCGGCCACAUUGGGACUGAGACACGGCCCAAACUCCUACGGGAGGCAGCAGUAGGGAACCUUCGGCAAUGGACGAAAGUCUGACCGAGCAACGCCGCGUGAGUGAAGAAGGUUUUCGGAUCGUAAAACUCGGUUGGUAGAGAAGAACGUUGGUGAGAGUGGAAAGCUCAUCAAGUGACGGUAACUACCCAGAAAGGGACGGCUAACUACGUG
rnacentral:rRNA from 1 species